CUCGCGCAUGGUGGAUUCACAAUCCACUGCCUUGAUCCACUUGGCUACAUCCGCC
rnacentral:tRNA from 1 species